GGGUCCCACCGCGCCAUCUAUAACCUGACGCCCUACUGCCUGUCGAGUGAAGAAGGUACGCGGAUCGUAAAGCUCUGUCGAGUGGGAAGAAAUGUAUCAUGGCUAAUAUCCAUGAUACUUGACGGUACCGCUAAAGGAAGCACCGGCUAACUCCGUGCCAGCAGCCGCGGUAAUACGGGGGGUGCAAGCGUUGUUCGGAAUUAUUGGGCGUAAAGAGCGUGUAGGCGGCUGAAUAAGUCAGAUGUGAAAUCCCUGGGCUUAACCCAGGAAGUGCAUUUGAAACUAUUCAGCUUGAGUAGGGGAGAGGAAAGUGGAAUUCCUGGUGUAGAGGUGAAAUNCGUAGAUAUCAGGAGGAACACCGGUGGCGAAGGCGACUUUCUGGCCCUAUACUGACGCUGAGACGCGAGAGCGUGGGUAGCAAACAGGAUUAGAUACCCUGGUAGUCCACGCUGUAAACGAU
rnacentral:rRNA from 1 species